GUCCACGCCGUAAACGAUGUCAACUAGCCGUUGGGGACCUUGAGUCUUUAGUGGCGCAGCUAACGCAUUAAGUUGACCGCCUGGGGAGUACGGCCGCAAGGUUAAAACUCAAAUGAAUUGACGGGGGCCCGCACAAGCGGUGGAGCAUGUGGUUUUAAUUCGAAGCAACGCGAAGAACCUUACCAGGCCUUGACAUCCAAUGAACUUUCCAGAGAUGGAUUGGUGCCUUCGGGGAACAUUGAGACAGGUGCUGCAUGGCUGUCGU
rnacentral:rRNA from 1 species